GAAAUGCGAUAAGUAAUGUGAAUUGCAGAAUUCAGUGAAUCAUCGAAUCUUUGAACGCACAUUGCGCCCGCCAGUAUUCUGGCGGGCAUGCCUGUUCGAGCGUCAUUACAACCCUCAGGCCCCCGGGCCUGGCGUUGGGGAUCGGCGGAAGCCCCCUGCGGGCACAACGCCGUCCCCCAAAUACAGUGGCGGUCCCGCCGCAGCUUCCAUUGCGUAGUAGCUAACACCUCGCAACUGGAGAGCGGCGCGGCCACGCCGUAAAACACCCAACUUCUGAAUGUUGACCUCGAAUCAGGUAGGAAUGCCCGCUGAACUUAAGC
rnacentral:misc_RNA from 1 species